UAGGGAAUCUUCCGCAAUGGACGCAAGUCUGACGGAGCAACGCCGCGUGAGUGAAGAAGGAUCUCGGUUCGUAAAACUCUGUUGGUAGAGAAGAACAGCGCAUAGAGUAACUGUUAUGCGUGUGACGGUAUCUAACCAGAAAGCCACGGCUAACUACGUGGCAGGAGGCGCGGUAAUACGUAGGUGGCAAGCGUUGUCCGGAUUUAUUUGGCGUAAAGCGAGCGCAGGCGGUCAAUGAAGUCUGAUGUGAAAGCCCCCGGCUCAACCGGGUAGGGUCAUUGGGAACUGGUUGACUUAAGUGCAUAAGAGGAGAGUGAAAUUCCAUGUGUAGCGGUGAAAUGCGUAGAUAGAGGGAGGAACCCCAGUGCCGAAGGCGACUCUCUGGUCUGUAACUGCCGCUGGGGCUGGAAAGCGUGGGUAGCAAACAGG
rnacentral:rRNA from 1 species